rnacentral:rRNA from 1 species
UACGUAGGGUGCAAGCGUUAAUCGGAAUUACUGGGCGUAAAGCGUGCGCAGGCGGUGAUGUAAGACAGUUGUGAAAUCCCCGGGCUCAACCCGGGAACUGCGUCCGAUACUGGCAGGCUUGAAUUCGGGAGAGGGAUGCGGAAUUCCAGGUGUAGCGGUGAAAUGCGUAGAUAUCUGGAGGAACACCGGUGGCGAAGGCGGCAUCCUGGACCGAGAUUGACGCGUGAGGCGCGAAAGCCAGGGGAGCAAACGGG